rnacentral:misc_RNA from 1 species
GAUGAAGAACGUAGUGAAAUGCGAUAAGUAAUGUGAAUUGCAGAAUUCAGUGAAUCAUCGAAUCUUUGAACGCACAUUGCGCCCGCCAGUAUUCUGGCGGGCAUGCCUGUUCGAGCGUCAUUUCAACCCUCAGGCCCCGCCUGGCGUUGGGGAUCGGCGCGGCCCUCUCCGGGCUGCCGACCCCGAAAACUAGUGGCGGUCUCGCUGUAGUCCUCCUCUGCGCAGUAGCAACGCUCGCACUGGAACUCGGCGCGGCCACGCCGUAAAACACCCCACUUCUGAAAGUUGACCUCGGAUCAGGUAGGAAUACCCGCUGAACUUAAGCAUAUCAAUAAGCGGAGGA